UGGUAUACUUCAUCCAAAGCUAAAUAUGGGCAAGAGACCGAUAGCGAACAAGUACCGUGAGGGAAAGGUGAAAAGAACUUUGAAAAGAGAGUGAAAUAGUGCUUGAAACCGUUGGGAGGAAAGCGAAUGGAGUUGCUAUACGACCAGGGUGUCUCAAUCUGGCACGCAAGUUGGUUCCGGUGUAGUGACCCUGUGUCUACGUUCGUGGAGUGGUACCUGUCCUGGCGCGUGACUAUUCUAUCAGCAAUGAUAAAAUGAGUGCUGACCAGACGACGGUGGUCUCAAAGAAUUUAUACCGAAAAAAAAGAUGAAAAAUCCCAAAAUUCUACAUUUUGAUCAAAAUAUCUUUACUUUGUAAAUACCGCAAGGCAGUUGCAAAAAAAGAUGGAAUUGGACAAAAUAAUGAUAUGACGUGAUUAAUUAUCAAAUAUUUUUUUCGGAUGAUAAUACGGACGGAAGGGCUUCAUUCGACCCGUCUUGAAACACGGACCAAGGAGUCCAGCCUCCACGCAAGUGCUUGGGUGGAAAACCCCAGCGCGCAGUGAAAGUAACAGCGUGAUAAUCUUAAUAAUCAAAAAAGAUUAUUCUGCUACGGCGGGAAUAUGUAUACGCACCGCCAUCCGACCAGCCCUCCUUUUUAGUGGCUGGCUUGUGACUGAGCGUGGAUGCUGGGACCCGAAAGAUGGUGAACUAUGCCCGAGUAGGAUGAAGCCAGAGGAAACUCUGGUGGAGGUCCGAAGGCGUUCUGACGUGCAAAUCGAUGCUCAAACUUGGGUAUAGGGGCGAAAGACCAAUCGAACCAUCUAG
rnacentral:rRNA from 2 species